UACUUGGAAACCAAUUGGGCAAUUGAAAGACGUGAAACCCUUUUCUCUUCCAUCUGAAAACCCUACAUUUUGAAAAAGGUUGCUCCCCUGCUACCACAUCUCUUCAGAUCCACUUCAAAAAAAGAAAUUCUCACUCUCUCCGGUCCUUCUGCUUCUUAUUUGAUCAAGAUUUCCGCCAUUUUUCACACCAGGUUUGAGGUUGUUAAAGCUUGAACAUGCACUAAAACUCUGUUGGUUCCUUCUCAUUUUCCACUCCAUGUCUGGGUAUCACAACACAUAUGACGAGUGAUUCAAGAAAUGUACAAUCACCUGGAAGGACAAUGAGCGGGUCUAUUGUAGUUGAUGCAUUAUUGUGGCAUAUUUCAGCUGCCAAAGGAAGGGUUAUAACAACCCAGUUUUCAUCUAACAUUAAUCGUCUUGGAACUUUGAAAGUUGCCGCUGAUUUAACUGGCAGAAGUCUUGGAACUUUGAAAGUUGCCGCUGAUUUGACUGGCAGAAAGUUGGUGUUUGCUGGCAUGUUGUUAAUGACAUAUUUGGAUGUAGCUUCGAAGGAUGGAAAGUCUCCAAUUGAUCCAUUGAGUUACUUUGUUCUUUUUUCGCGGAUGCCAGUUUAUUUCAAAAGCAUAACUACAUGGCACUCUUAAUCAACACAGGUUACCCGAUAAAAAUUGUCCUUAAAUUGAUGCAGGUAUGCCAUGACAGGACAAAACUAAGUGAAGACAAGUUUUUUUCCUAAUGCUUGACAUGGUAAUCAAGUUUUUGUGCAGUUAACACUGUGAAUUUGUUCCUAAUUUUUUUUGUUCUAGAAAUUGUACUAUACCAAGUUGAUUCAUGCUUUUUUGAUCUACUGAAAUUUUUUGUUUCUCUUUAUAAAUAUGUUUAAAAGAAUUGUGAUCCUCUUUGCAUAAUCGCUACUUUGCUGCAUUUUGGACAAAGAUAAUAAAAUCGACAACAACUCGGCAACAAGUGCCUUGAGGUUGGGGGAACAUGAUUAUUGUGAUAGAAGUUAAUAAUUUAAUUUUCUUUUACCUGCCGGUCUUAGUACCUUACCUUGAUGAAAUGUAGAACAUUCCCGCAAUCAUGAAACCUUGACAGUUUGUCUUUAUGGAAAGUUUUAUUUGUGACAUUCGGUUAAAGAAAUGUAUAUCAUGAAUAUUUGGUUUUUACAGUAAUAUGCAUGCCAAAUAGUAUGCAUGGUGAGAUACUAGAGAAAAAUGAAAAGUUCAGUGUGGGUUGAUUAAUCCAUUUGCUUGCAAGUGACACACAAGCACUGGUUUCAAUGGACAUUUACAGGAAGUUCUGACACAAGUUCUUAAAUGCUGAACUUUUAUCUUUUUACCGCACUCUGACGGUGCUGAUGGCUGGUCUUUUGUGCACUGUGACGGCGACACAAACAAUUUCAAUAAAUUCAAUCAAAAUGGUUGUUUAUUUUUCCUGUAAACCACUUACUCUCUUCUGCAAAAUUAUUUUGGAAUUUAUAUCUUGCUCACCUACUAAUUGAAGUUUCUUUUAAGUGAUGCAAAUCGACGUGCUCGAGGUCGAUGGAAAGUAUUAUGGUGUGUGCUCUUUUGAAUUGCGUAUAGCAUCUUAUCAUGUUUGAUGUCCACUUAUCAGGUCUUUGAAGACAAUAACAAUUAGAUCGAGUGACACGACAAAAGAUUCAGCCGACGAGUAAGCGGAGUAAACUCUGCUCGGUUUCGACAGGUAGCUCUUUGACCAUACCCUCCGUUGAGAAAGCGGAGUAAGCAGAGAUUUAGCCGACAAGUAUCCCUUUUAUCUCACAUUCCGUUUCGAAAUUCUUAAAUUUUCCAUACAAGCUGAUUAUUGAUAUUAACAAUUAUAUUGGCUCUAACACUAAGCUUUGUUUAUCUGAUUAUUUUUUCAUUUCUCUUUCAGGAAAAUUCGGUGUCUUUUUUGCAUCGAUUCGAUGUCUUUCAGGUUUCUUUCAAUCUAUCGUAAUUGAUCUAAGAGGCCUAUAAUUUUCACUGGAUGCCAAUCUGAGCCUCUACUUGCGAUUAUUUUGGUUGUGGCGUGGCAUGGAGGUUCACGAUUCAACCUUUUGUCGAUUGGUCCAUCAUUAAAGAUCAUGCAGCAUGCUACUACUAUUAAUAAUCUAGCAAUGAGAAAUCCGAAUCCUGAUGUGAAUAAUGGAUUAUUUAUGUUUUUGUCCACUAUGGCACCCUGUUGAUUAUGUGGUUAUGUCACAUAAUUAAGGGACUAUAUAUUAUUGUCAUAUAUGUGCAAACUAAUGUCACAAAAGACAAUUAUACUAUCAGAAAAAUAUUUAAUAUAAUAAAUGUUGAAUUAAGAAUUCAA